AGAUUGAACGCUGGCGGCAGGCCUAACACAUGCAAGUCGAACGCGAUCUUCGGAUCGAGUGGCGCACGGGUGAGUAACGCGUGGGAAUCUGCCCUGUGGUACGGAAUAACAUCGGGAAACUGGUGCUAAUACCGUAUAUCCCCUGAGGGGGAAAGAUUUAUCGCCAUGGGAGGAGCCCGCGUAGGAUUAGCUAGUUGGUGAGGUAACGGCUCACCAAGGCGACGAUCCUUAGCUGGUCUGAGAGGAUGAUCAGCCACACUGGGACUGAGAUACGGCCCAGACUCCUACGGGAGGCAGCAGUGGGGAAUAUUGGACAAUGGGGGAAACCCUGAUCCAGCCAUGCCGCGUGUGUGAUGAAGGCCUUCGGGUUGUAAAGCACUUUCGCACGUGACGAUGAUGACGGUAACGUGAGAAGAAGCCCGGCUAACUUCGUGCCAGCAGCCGC
rnacentral:rRNA from 1 species